rnacentral:lncRNA from 1 species
UUCAAGAUGUGGGCAAUUACAAAGGUUACUUUAUACCAUGGCAUUUGUGGAAUAUUCAAGUACACUGGAAGAACAUCCUUGAAUGCUUUACCAAUGGGAGAAGAGUUAAAGAGACUUUGA